UCUUAAAAGUCGGACCAUUAAGUUAUUUGAAAAAGAAAAAAAAAAGAAAAUCAUUUAUUUUACAAUUUUAAGUCCUCUAUGACCUUGGAAAAUAGACACUGAAUAUCUAAUAUAUAUAAGAAAUCGCAAUUUUUAGUUUAACCAGUUAUUAUUAACCAGUAAUUUAUCAGAUUCUAAUAGCUAAAGUUAUCAGAUAAUUCACACAGUGGAACAUCUAUUUUAAGCAUAUUUUGUUUUACCUAAAAGCUGAAUAUCAUGCACGUCCAGACAAAUGAAGGGCACAUACCCAUGUUCCCCCAAAGAGUUAAUAUUAGUUACCCUUUCAGCCGUGACUGCCCCAUCACCUUAAUAAUAACACAUUAACAGAGGUCAGUUGACAACCAGCUACCAGUUUGUAUGUACUACACACAGACGUUUGUCUGUAACACAUCAUACUACUUCAAUUGGGGCUUGAAGACAAAAUGAAGCGCCCGGAUGAGCCUCGAAGGAGUAAAGCAGAUGGCGAGAACAACAACUGGGAGCAAGAAAAUCAAUCGGACACAUCCCACAAUAAGAGCCCGCUCCUUUCGGAUCCAUGGAAACCAUGCAGACAGCACCGUGCUGUUGUCAAAGAGCUGCUGUUGAAGCUGAGGUGUUGUCUGGGAACAGUGUGUGGGAUUGAAUGGUAUGGCUACGCUGCUCUGGGUAUUUUGACUGCCAUCCUCAGUUUCCUCAUGGACCUCAGUGUAGCGAAGCUGCUGCGAGCUCACCAGUGGCUUUAUACGAUGCUGGAAGGAAAUGUUUUGCUGCAGUUUCUCUGCUGGACUCUUUACCCAGCAUGCAUUUGUGCCAUUGCAUCAUCAUUCUCCCACAACAUCUGUCCUUUCUCCACAGGCUCAGGGAUACCAGAGGUGAGAACCAUGUUGGCGGGAUUUGAAAUGCCGCAUUAUUUGUCUCUCACUAAUUUGUUUUCCAAGUUCUUGGGCCUUAUCUGUACACUGGCAGCUGGCAGCACUGUUUUCCUGGGCAAAGUGGGUCCAUUUGUGCAUCUUUCCACCAUGGUGGGAGGUUACCUGAGCAAUCUCUGCACUCUCAUACAACGUGAUAAGAAGGAAAAAGCAGCUGGACAAAUGUUGGUUGUAUCUGCCGGGGUCGGGGUAGCCAGCUGCUUCGGAGCUCCCAUUGGCGGUGUGUUGUUCUCUGUGGAGGUGAUGAGCUCUCACUUCGCCCUGAGGCAUUACUGCCCAUGCUUCUUCUCAGCAGCCUGUGGGGCGUUGACCUUCCGACUUUUAGCAGUGUGGGGUGGAGAUGGAGAGACUCUCCAGGCCUUGUUCAGAACUAAUUUCCCCGAUGCUUUACCUUUCUACCCGCUGGAAAUUCUGCUGUUUGCUUUCCUAGGGCUGCUGUGUGGGGCUGUGAGCUGCUGCUACCUCUUCUGCCACAGGUGGAUCCUGCGUUUCACUAAAACAAACCCAGUUUUCGCCAAGAUGCUGACGACAGAGAAGGCUCUGUACUCAGGCAUGGUUGUCUUCUUCCUGGCAUCACUGACGUUUCCCCAUUUUGCUGGUCAUUACAUGGCUUCUAAGUACACCAUGAAAGAACUCCUCACUUCUUUCCUGGAUAGCAGGCAGUGGACCUCACAAUCCCACAACACCUCUGAGCAGCUGCAGCCUUUGUUGGAGUGGAGCUCAUCAGGGACUUCUGUCUACUUCUCUUUGGUUUUCUUUCUGCUCAUGAAGAUGUGGAUGUUGGUCCUCGCCUGCACCCUGCCUCUGCCAGCUGGAUACUUCAUGCCAGUGUUCAUCUAUGGGGCAGCUAUUGGCCGUUUGAUUGGGGAAGGAGCCGCUUAUUUGUCUUCCACUGGAGUGACUCCAGGCCAGCAGUGGGCUUCUGUAAACCCAGGAGGCUAUGCACUUGCUGGUGCAGCGGCCUUCUCUGGCGCUGUCACACACACUUUGUCCCCAGUUCUCGUGGCUAUAGAGUUGACUGGUCAGUUCACCCAUGCUGUACCCAUCCUCCUGGCGACUCUGCUGGCCAAUGCCCUGUCACGCUCUGGCCAACGCCCAUCUUUCUAUGAUGCCUUGUCCAUCAGCAAGAGGCUCCCACACCUUCCCUCUCUGAAGAAGGCAAGUCCUCAAUCACAGCAAGUUCACCCUGAGCACACGUGAAAGGAUCUGGAGAAGCCGUGGAGAAAAUUAUGCUGCCAUUAACCUCAUUCAGCAUGACCGGAUUGGUGGCUUCCAUCCACACCAGUCGGACAGGU